UAGGCAACAAAUAAUGGCAGCAGCUCCGGGGGAUCCUGGGCUCUCCAAAUUGCAGUUUGCUCCCUUUAGCAGUGCUUUGGACGUUGGAUUCUGGCACGAGUUGACCCAGAGAAAGCUGAAUGAGUAUCGGCUGGAUGAAGCUCCCAAGGACAUUAAGGGCUAUUACUACAAUGGUGAUUCUGCUGGGCUGCCAGCUCGCUUAACGUUGGAGUUCAGUGCUUUUGACAUGAGUGCUCCCACCCCAGCCCACUGCUGCCCGGCUGUUGGAACGCUCUUUAACACCAACACACUUGAGGCUUUCAAGGCUGCAGAUAAGAAGCUACUUUUGGAGCAAGCAGCAGAUGAGAUAUGGGAAGCCAUAAAAUCAGGUGCUGCUCUCGAAAACCCUGUCCUCCUCAACAAGUUCCUCCUCUUGACCUUUGCAGAUCUAAAGAAGUACCACUUCUACUACUGGUUUUGCUUCCCUGCUCUCUGCCUUCCAGAUAGUAUACCCCUCAUUCAAGGGCCAGUGGGCUUGGAUCAAAGGUUUUCACCAAAACAGAUUCAAGCCCUUGGGUGUGCAUAUGAUGCUCUUUGUCAAACAGAAGGAGUCCCAGCUCUACCUUACUUCUUAAUCAAGUAUGAUGAGAACAUGGUGCUGGUUUCCCUGCUUAAACACUACAGUGAUUUCUUCCAAGACCAAAGGACAAAGAUAACAAUUGGUGUAUAUGAUCCCUGUAACUUAGCCCAGCAUCCUGGAUGGCCUUUGAGGAAUCUUUUGGUCCUAGCAGCCCACCGAUGGAGUAGCAGUUUCCAGUCUGUUGAAGUCCUCUGCUUCCGGGACCGCACCAUGCAGGGGGUGAGAGACAUUGCCCACAGCAUCAUCUUCGAAGUGAAGCUUCCAGAAAUGGCAUUUAGCCCAGAUUGUCCCAAAGCAGUUGGAUGGGAAAAAAACCAGAAAGGCGGCAUGGGACCGAGGAUGGUGAACCUCAGUGAAUGUAUGGACCCUAAAAGGUUAGCUGAGUCAUCAGUGGAUUUAAAUCUCAGAUUGAUGUGUUGGAGAUUGGUCCCCACUUUGGACUUAGACAAGGUUGUGUCUGUCAAGUGUCUGCUGCUUGGAGCUGGCACCUUGGGUUGUAAUGUAGCUAGGACAUUGAUGGGUUGGGGCGUCAGACACAUCACAUUUGUGGACAAUGCCAAUAUCUCCUACUCCAAUCCUGUGAGGCAGCCUCUCUAUGAAUUUGAAGAUUGCCUCGCGGGUGGUAAGCCCAAGGCCCUGGCUGCAGCAGACCGGCUUCAGAAAAUAUUCCCCGGAGUGAAUGCCAGAGGGUUCAACAUGAGCAUCCCGAUGCCUGGACACCCGGUGAACUUUUCCAGCGUCACCCUGGAGCAAGCCCGCAGGGAUGUGGAGCAACUGGAGCAGCUCAUCGAAAGCCAUGAUGUCGUUUUCCUGUUGAUGGACACCAGGGAGAGCCGGUGGCUCCCUGCCGUCAUUGCCGCGAGCAAAAGAAAGCUGGUCAUCAAUGCUGCCUUGGGAUUUGACACGUUUGUUGUCAUGAGACAUGGCUUGAAGAAACCUAAGCAGCAGGGAGCUGGGGACUUGUGUUCUAGUCACCUUGUGGCACCUGCCGACCUCUUAGGCUCAUCACUUUUUGCCAACAUCCCUGGCUACAAACUUGGCUGCUAUUUCUGCAAUGAUGUGGUGGCCCCGGGAGAUUCAACCAGAGACCGGACCUUGGACCAGCAGUGCACUGUGAGCCGCCCAGGACUGGCCAUGAUUGCAGGAGCCCUGGCCGUGGAAUUGAUGGUUUCUGUUUUGCAGCAUCCAGAAGGGGGCUACGCCAUUGCCAGUAGCAGUGAUGACCGCAUGAAUGAGCCGCCAACCUCUCUCGGGCUUGUGCCUCACCAGAUCCGGGGAUUUCUGUCACGGUUUGAUAAUGUCCUUCCUGUCAGUCUGGCGUUUGACAAAUGUACAGCUUGUUCUUCCAAAGUUCUUGAUCAGUAUGAACGAGAAGGAUUUAAUUUCCUAGCGAAGGUGUUUAAUUCUUCACAUUCCUUCUUAGAAGACUUGACUGGUCUCACUUUGCUGCAUCAAGAGACCCAAGCUGCUGAGGUGCUAUGAAUUUCUUGAGGCAACAGAGCAAUCAGUAAACUGGUGACUGUUCCAACAUGAAUGGAGCCUCCUGGUGUUCCCUGGUCCUGAGUGUUUGUCCACAAAAUGCAAGGCAGACCCAGGGGCCUCUCUCCCCUACCUGAAGUUUUAUAGAUUUUCUUUAUUUGACAGAGAGAGACACAGCGAGAGAGGGAACACAAGCAGUGGGAGUGGGAGAGGGAGAAGCAGGCUUCCCGUGGAGCAGGGAGCCCGAUGCGGGGCUCGAUCCCAGGUCCCUGGGAUCAUGACCUGAGCCGAAGGCAGACGCUUAACGACUGAGCCACCCAGAUCUGGGACAUGAGCGACGAUGAGACCGUCUGACGUGGCCCACCCUUGCGUGGCUGGCUUCUCCCUGGCCGCCUGCUGAGGAGCCCUCGGUUACCGGAGCCGGACUGCCACCCCCAAGACCGGUGAUUCUGGGCCCUGCGCCCCUCCAACCUUUGUGGUCUCCUCCUCUGUGUACCUUGAGGACCAGGGCCCCCUCUCCACUGCCCAGGAGCUUCUGGGGUUCUCCAUUUCUCAUGAUUCAUGAUCUUACCAGUUCUGAGCUAAAUAAUAACCUUGGCUUUGGCAUUGCCAUUGA